AGUUCAACUACAAGGCCCUCCAGCUGAAUGCAAAAGUAAGCCCACGGAGAGACCGUCCACACCGCUUAGGCACUUACUCAACUUGGAAGGCAUAUGCAAGCAAUGUAAUGCCAAGUGACUGAAACAGUAGAGUUUUAUCUCACAGUCUUGAACUGGAAGAUGACGAAACAUUUCAAUGAAAUCUCUGGAAAUGACAUCAUCAAAUAAACAAAGACUGGAGUUCAGAAGACCAGUUCAACACUUAGGAUAAAAUUUAUCAGGCAGUGACUUUCAUCUUCGACUUCCAUGCAUUUAUAAGCACUAAAGAUUACAGUUUUAUGUCUCGGUA